CCGGGUCAUAGCCUGAUAAUACUAUAAAGGUUAGUAAUGUGCACAGAAACAGAUAUAUUCUCCUUUAUAAAGCUAUGUCUAACACGUCAACGGAGCCAUUUGUUGAGUGAUGCGCGGGUUUAAAGGGAGCUAGAAAGGAAAAACACCACUAUUUUCUGCCCAAUGUUCUAGGAUCUUUCAUUUGGAUCAUCCUUCUGCUAUUCCAUUAAAAAUGCUUGCUAUUUAGGUCUCCACAAACAUUGACCAGGCGACUUAUAACAGGAAAUAAUAUUCGCUGAAACAAGUCUUUUAACAGUGAUGUAUAAACCGGUAGUCUCUAGAAUUUUAAAUAUUGGUGAGAGGUUAAACUUAUUGCCGUUUUUCUAAUGGGAUUCUGGUAUUAUAAUGAGGUC